GCCGGGCAUGGUGGCACAUGCCUGUAAUCCCAGCACUCGGGAGGCUGAGGCAGGAGGAUUUCUGUGAGUUUGAGACCAGUCUGGGCUACAAAGUGAGCUCAAGGCCAGCCUGAACAGCAGAGUGAGACCCUGUCUCAGAAAGAUGGAAAAAAAAAAUCAGGUAGGCACACAAGCCUAAAUUUUUUUCAUUUCGUGUUUUCAUUUCACUUUGUAGCCCAGGCUGGUCUUGAACUUGCAGUAUCUUCCCGCCUCA
rnacentral:sRNA from 1 species